rnacentral:rRNA from 1 species
ACACGUGAGGGGCGAACGUUGUUCGGAAUUAUUGGGCGUAAAGGGCGCGUAGGCGGUUUUACAAGCUUGGUGUGAAAGACCUCAGCUCAACUGAGGGGACGCACUGGGAACUGUAAGACUAGAAUCUAGGAGGGGAAGCUGGAAUUCCUGGUGUAGGGGUGAAAUCUGUAGAUAUCAGGAAGAACACCGGUGGCGAAGGCGAGCUUCUGGCCAUAGAUUGACGCUGAGGCGCGAAAGCGUGGGGAGCGAACAGGAUUAGAUACCCCGGUAGUCC